UACGGAGGGUGCAAACGUUGCUCGGAAUCACUGGGCGUAAAGCGCACGUAGGCGGCCUUGUAAGUUGGAUGUGAAAGCCCUGGGCUCAACCCAGGAAGUGCAUCCAAAACUGCAUGGCUUGAGUGCCGGAGGGGUUCAGAGAAUUCCCGGUGUAGAGGUGAAAUUCGUAGAUAUCGGGAGGAAUACCAGUGGCGAAGGCGCUGAACUGGACGGUAACUGACGCUGAGGUGCGAAAGCGUGGGUAGCAAACAGG
rnacentral:rRNA from 1 species